rnacentral:lncRNA from 1 species
AAAAAAAGAAAAAUGAAAAAAAAAAUAUUUGGGGUGUUCAGGCUUCCUAAAAGUAAUACCCGGGUAUGAGGUUAUGGGGCUAUGGUAAGGUUUAAGGUUUUUGGCGUUAGGUUUAAAAUCACUGUCCAAAACCUUUGUAGGAACUCUUUAACAACCUUUUGGAUUUAGUUAGACCAAAAAAAAAUGAAAAAUUAAAAAAAAUCUAUUUGGGGUGUUCAGGCUUCCUAAAAGUAAUACCCGGGUAUUAGGUUAUGGGGCUAUGGUAAGGUUUAAGGUUUUUGGCGUUAGGGUUAAAAUCACUGUCCAAAACCUUUGUAGGAACUCUUUUCCAACCUUUUGGAGUUAGUUAGACAAAAAAAAAAAAUUAAAAAUGAAAAAAAAUAUAUUUGGGGUGUUCAGGCUUCCUGAAGGUAAUACCCGGGUAUUAGAUUUUAAGGCCAGGGAAAGGUUUAAGUUUUUUGGCGUUAGGGUUAAAAUCACUGUCCAAAACCUUUGUAGGAACUCUUUUCCAACCUUUUGGAGUUAGUUAGACCAAAAAAUAUGAAAAAAGAAAAAAAUAUUAUUGGGGGUUUUCGGGCUUCCUGAAGGUAAUACCCAGGUAUUAGGUUUUGGGACUGGGGAAAGGUUUAAGGUUUUUGGCGUUAGGGUUAAAAUCACUGUCCAAAACCUUUGUAGGAACUCUUUUCCAACCUUUUGGAGUUAGUUAGACCAAAAAAAAAAAAGAAAAAUGAAAAAAAAAUAUUUGGGGAGUUCAGGCUUCCUAAAAGUAAUACCCAGGUAUUAGGUUUUGUGGCUAUGGUAAGGUUUAAGUUUUUUGGCGUUAGGGUUAAAAUCACUGUCCAAAACCUUUGUAGGAACUCUUUUCCAACCUUUUGGAGUUAGUUAGACCAAAAAAAAAUGAAAAAUUAAAAAACAAUAUUUGGGGUUUUCGGGGUUCCUGAAUGUAAUACCCGGGUAUUAGAUUUUGAGGCUAGGGUAAGGUUUAAGUUUUUUGGCAUUAGGGUUAAAAUCACUGUCCAAAACCUUUGUAGGAACUCUUUUCCAACCUUUUGGAGUUGGUUACACCAAAAAAAUGUAAAAUGAAGAAAAAAAUAUUUGGGGUGUUCAGGCUUCCUGAAGGUAAUACCCGGGUAUUAGAUUUCAAGGCUAGGGUAAGGUUUAAGGUUUUUGGCGUUAGGGUUAAAAUCACUGUCCAAAACCUUUGUAGGAACUCUUUUCCAACCUUUUGGAGUUAGUUAGACCAAAAAAUAUGAAAAAAGAAAAAAAUAUUAUUGGGGGUUUUCGGGCUCCCUGAAAGUAAUACCCGUGUAUUAGGUUUUGGGACUAGGGAAAGGUUUAAGUUUUUUGGCGUUAGGGUUAAAAUCACUGUCCAAAACCUUUGUAGGAACUCUUUUCCAACCUUUUGGAGUUAGUUAGACCAAAAAAAAAGAAAAAUGAAAAAAAAAUAUUUGGGGUGUUCAGGCUUCCUAAAAGUAAUACCCGGGUAUUAGGUUAUGGGGCUAUGGUAAGGUUUAAGUUUUGGCGUUAGGGUUAAAAUCACUGUCCAAAACCUUUGUAGGAACUCUUUUCCAACCUUUUGGAGUUAGUUAGACCAAAAAAAAAGAAAAAUGAAAAAAAAAUAUUUGGGGUGUUCAGGCUUCCUAAAAGUAAUACCCGGGUAUUAGGUUAUGGGGCUAUGGUAAGGUUUAAGGUUUUUGGCGUUAGGGUUAAAAUCACUGUCCAAAACCUUUGUAGGAACUCUUUUCCAACCUUUUGGAGUUAGUUAGACCAAAAAAAAAUGAAAAAUGAAAAAAUAUAUUUGGGGUGUUCAGGCUUCCUAAAAGUAAUACCCGGGUAUUAGGUUAUGGGGCUAUGGUAAGGUUUAAGGUUUUUGGCGUUAGGGUUAAAAUCACUGUCCAAAACCUUUGUAGGAACUCUUUUCCAACCUUUUGGAGUUAGUUAGACAAAAAAAAAAUUAAAAAUGAAAAAAAAUAUAUUUGGGGUUUACGGGCUUCCUGAAUGUAAUACCCGGGUAUUAGAUUUUAAGGCCAGGGAAAGGUUUAAGUUUUUUGGCGUUAGGGUUAAAAUCACUGUCCAAAACCUUUGUAGGAACUCUUUUCCAACCUUUUGGAGUUAGUUAGACCAAAAAAUAUGAAAAAGAAAAAAAAUUAUUGGGGUUUUCGGGCUUCCUGAAAGUAAUACCCGGGUAUUAGGUUUUGGGCUAGGGAAAGGUUUAAGGUUUUUGGCGUUAGGGUUAAAAUCACUGUCCAAAACCUUUGUAGGAACUCUUUUCCAACCUUUUGGAGUUAGUUAGACCAAAAAAAAAAGAAAAAUGAAAAAAAAAAUAUUUGGGGUGUUCAGGCUUCCUAAAAGUAAUACCCGGGUAUGAGGUUAUGGGGCUAUGGUAAGGUUUAAGGUUUUUGGCGUUAGGGUUAAAAUCACUGUCCAAAACCUUUGUAGGAACUCUUUUCCAACCUUUUGGAGUUAGUUAGACCAAAAAAAAAUGAAAAAUGAAAAAAAAUAUUUGGGGUGUUCAGGCUUCCUAAAAGUAAUACCCGGGUAUUAGGUUAUGGGGCUAUGGUAAGGUUUAAGGUUUUUUGGCGUUAGGGUUAAAAUCACUGUCCAAAACCUUUGUAGGAACUCUUUUCCAACCUUUUGGAGUUAGUUAGACCAAAAAAUAUGAAAAAAGAAAAAAAUAUUAUUGGGGGUUUUCGGGCUCCGUGAAGGUAAUACCCAGGUAUUAGGUUUUGGGACUGGGGAAAGGUUUAAGGUUUUUGGCGUUAGGGUUAAAAUCACUGUCCAAAACCUUUGUAGGAACACUUUUCCAACCUUUUGGAGUUAGUUAGACCAAAAAAAAAAGAAAAAUGAAAAAAAAAUAUUUGGGGAGUUCAGGCUUCCUAAAAGUAAUACCCAGGUAUUAGGUUUUGUGGCUAUGGUAAGGUUUAAGUUUUUUGGCGUUAGGGUUAAAAUCACUGUCCAAAACCUUUGUAGGAACUCUUUUUCAACCUUUUGGAGUUAGUUAGACCAAAAAAAAAUGAAAAAUGAAAAAAAAAAUUAUUUGGGGUUUUCGGGCUUCCUGAAUGUAAUACCCGGGUAUUAGAUUUUGAGGCUAGGGUAAGGUUUAAGUUUUUUGGCGUUAGGGUUAAAAUCACUGUCCAAAACCUUUGUAGGAACUCUUUUCCAACCUUUUGGAGUUAGUUAGACCAAAAAAAAAUGAAAAAUGAAGAAAAAAAUAUUUGGGGUGUUCAGGCUUCCUGAAGGUAAUACCCGGGUAUUAGAUUUCAAGGCUAGGGUAAGGUUUAAGGUUUUUGGCGUUAGGGUUAAAAUCACUGUCCAAAACCUUUGUAGGAACUCUUUUCCAACCUUUUGGAGUUAGUUAGACCAAAAAAAUGAAAAAAGAAAAAAAAAUAUUGGGGGUUUUCGGGCUUCCUGAAAGUAAUACCCGGGUAUUAGGUUUUGGGACUAGGGAAAGGUUUAAGGGUUUUGGCGUUAGGGUUAAAAUCACUGUCCAAAACCUUUGUAGGAACUCUUUUCCAACCUUUUGGAGUUAGUUAGACCAAAAAAAAAAGAAAAAUGAAAAAAAAAUAUUUGGGGUGUUCAGGCUUCCUAAAAGUAAUACCCGGGUAUUAGGUUAUGGGGCUAUGGUAAGGUUUAAGUUUUUUGGCGUUAGGGUUAAAAUCACUGUCCAAAACCUUUGUAGGAACUCUUUUUCAACCUUUUGGAGUUAGUUAGACCAAAAAAAUGAAAAAUGAAAAAAAAUUAUUUGGGGUGUUCGGGCUUCCUGAAAGUAAUACCCGGUAUUAGGUUUUGGGACUAGGGAAAGGUUUAAGGGUUUUGGCGUUAGGGUUAAAAUCACUGUCCAAAACCUUUGUAGGAACUCUUUUCCAACCUUUUGGAGUUAGUUAGACCAAAAAAAAAAAGAAAAAUGAAAAAAAAAUAUUUGGGGUGUUCAGGCUUCCUAAAAGUAAUACCCGGGUAUUAGGUUAUGGGGCUAUGGUAAGGUUUAAGUUUUUGGCGUUAGGGUUAAAAUCACUGUCCAAAACCUUUGUAGGAACUCUUUUCCAACCUUUUGGAGUUAGUUAGACCAAAAAAAAAAGAAAAAUGAAAAAAAAAUAUAUGGGGUGUUCAGGCUUCCUAAAAGUAAUACCCGGGUAUUAGGUUAUGGGGCUAUGGUAAGGUUUAAGGUUUUUGGCGUUAGGGUUAAAAUCACUGUCCAAAACCUUUGUAGGAACUCUUUUCCAACCUUUUGGAGUUGGUUACACCAAAAAAAAUGUAAAAUGAAAAAAAAAUAUUUGGGGUGUUCGGCUUCCUGAAUGUAAUACCCGGGUAUUAGAUUUUGAGGCUAGGGUAAGGUUUAAGGUUUUUGGCGUUAGGGUUAAAAUCACUGUCCAAAACCUUUGUAGGAACUCUUUUUCAACCUUUUGGAGUUAGUUAGACCAAAAAAAAUGAAAAAUG